rnacentral:rRNA from 1 species
AUGGACAGAUGGAAGGAGCAGCAGAGCGAGCUUGAUCAAUACUCCUAUCCCUACUGUGGAACCAACUUACUGCUCCUGUGCAUGAAUCCGGAGAACCAGAGUGGAGAACCAGUAUCUACUCCAGCAAAGACUCAGGCGAUCAACACAGACUGCAGGACUGCCGGCGAGGAAGAGAUCAAUUGGAGUGACUGGUCGACCUGGCUGCUCGCCGACGAGGUCAAUUGGCCGGAUCAGGAGCUCCGGUGCAUGAAUCGAGGAGGGCGUCGGGUUGCGCUGCUACUGCUGGUCAGUGCGGGGAGGAGCACGGGCGGCACGACAGGCAGGAGCCGCGGGCGGCUGGAGCCUGUGGCGGACGACGAGGGAGAUGCGUAUGGCAAGGACGGACCUUGGGUUCUCGAUCGGAGUGGAGGAAGGCGGCCGGCGGGGGCGGACGCCGGAGCUGCAGCGGAGGGGUGGAGCCUGGCGGACGGGAAUAGCGACGGAGGAAGAGGACGAUCCGAGCGACAAGUGUUUUUCAAAUUGGGGGUAGUUUCGUACUUUUUUUCCUUUUCAUCUGGUCGGAGAAUUGCCCCAAUGACAAAUAAAUCGGUACAGAGGGAGUAA